GACGAACGCUGGCGGCGUGCUUAACACAUGCAAGUCGAACGGAAAGGCCCUUCGGGGUACUCGAGUGGCGAACGGGUGAGUAACACGUGGGUGAUCUGCCCUGCACUUUGGGAUAAGCCUGGGAAACUGGGUCUAAUACCGAAUAGGACCACGCGCUUCAUGGUGUGUGGGGGAAAGCUUUUGCGGUGUGGGAUGGGCCCGCGGCCUAUCAGCUUGUUGGUGGGGUAAUGGCCUACCAAGGCGACGACGGGUAGCCGGCCUGAGAGGGUGACCGGCCACACUGGGACUGAGAUACGGCCCAGACUCCUACGGGCGGCAGCAGUGGGGAAUAUUGCACAAUGGGCGCAAGCCUGAUGCAGCGACGCCGCGUGAGGGAUGACGGCCUUCGGGUUGUAAACCUCUUUCAAUAGGGACGAAGCGCAAGUGACGGUACCUAUAGAAGAAGCACCGGCCAACUACGUG
rnacentral:rRNA from 1 species